AUACGGAGGGGGUUAGCGUUGUUCGGAAUUACUGGGCGUAAAGCGCACGUAGGCGGACUGGAAAGUUGGGGGUGAAAUCCCGGGGCUCAACCCCGGAACUGCCUCCAAAACUUCCAAUCUAGAGAUCGAGAGAGGUGAGUGGAAUUCCAAGUGUAGAGGUGAAAUUCGUAGAUAUUUGGAGGAACACCAGUGGCGAAGGCGGCUCACUGGCUCGAUCCUGACGCUGAGGUGCGAAAGCGUGGGGAGCAAACAGGAUUAGAAACCCCAGUAGUCC
rnacentral:rRNA from 1 species